UACGGAGGGUGCGAGCGUUGUUCGGAAUCACUGGGCGUAGAGCGCGUGUAGGCGGUCCGGUAAGUCCGCUGUGAAAGCCAGGGGCUCAACCCUUGGAUGCCGGUGGAUACUGUCGGGCUUGAGUACGGAAGAGGCGAGUGGAAUUCCUGGUGUAGCGGUGAAAUGCGCAGAUAUCAGGAGGAACACCAGUGGCGAAGGCGGUGCUCUGGGCCGGAACUGACGCUGAGGAGCGAAAGCGUGGGGAGCAAACAGG
rnacentral:rRNA from 1 species